GGAAGAGACCACCAACACUGCUCACCCCUGCCCACAUCCCUGGCCCAAGAGGAAACUGUAUAAGGCCUCUGGGCUCCCGAGGGGGAGGGCCCAGGAGCGGCAGGACCCCUGUGCCUGAGACACCACCAGAACGAGAAGGAAACAGACCGGAUAAACAGUUCUCUGCACCCAAAUACCUUGGGAGGGAGAGCUGAACCUUCAGAGAGGCAGACAAGCCUGGGAAACCAGAAGAGACUGCUCUCUGCACACACAUCUCGGACGCCAGAGGAAAAAGCCAAAGACCAUCUGGAACCCUGGUGCACUGAAGCUCCCGGAAGGGGCGGCACAGGUCUUCCUGGUUGCUGCCGCUGCAGAGAGCCCCUGGACAGCACCCCACGAGCGAACCUGAGCCUCGGGACCACAGGUAAGACCAAAUUUUCUGCUGCAAGAAAGCUGCCUGGUGAACUCAAGACACAGGCCCACAGGAACAGCUGAAGACCUGUAGAGAGGAAAAACCACACGCCGGAAAGCAGAACACCCUGCCCCAUAACUGACUGAAAGAGAGGAAAACAGGUCUACAGCACUCCUGACACACAGGCUUAUAGGACAGUCUAGCCACUGUCAGAAAUAGCAGAACAAAGUAACACUAGAGAUAAUCUGAUGGCGAGAGGCAAGCGCAGGAACCCAAGCAACAGAAACCAAGACUACAUGGCAACAUCGGAGCCCAAUUCUCCCAUCAAAACAAACAUGGAAUAUCCAAACACACCAGAAAAGCAAGAUCUAGUUCCAAAAUCAUUUUUGAUCAUGAUGCUGGAGGACUUCAAGAAAGACGUGAAGAACUCCCUUAGAGAACAAGUAGAAGCCUACAGAGAGGAAUCGCAAAAAUGCCUGAAAGAAUUCCAGGAAAACAUAAAUAAACAAGUAGAAGCCCAUAGAGAGGAGACACAAAAAUCCCUGAAAGAAUUCCAGGAAAACAUAAAUAAACAAGUAGAAGCCCAUAGAGAGGAGACACAAAAAUCCCUGAAAGAAUUCCAGGAAAACACAAUCAAACAGUUGAAGGAAUUAAAAAUGGAAAUAGAAGCAAUCAAGAAAGAACACAUGGAAACAACCCUGGAUAUAGAAAACCAAAAGAAGAGGCAAGGAGCUGUAGAUACGAGCUUCACCAACAGAAUACAAGAGAUGGAAGAGAGAAUCUCAGGAGCAGAAGAUUCCAUAGAAAUCAUUGACUCAACUGUCAAAGAUAAUGUAAAGUAAAAAAGCUACUGGUCCAAAACAUACAGGAAAUCCAGGACUCAAUGAGAAGAUCAAACCUAAGGAUAAUAGGUAUAGAAGAGAGUGAAGACUCCCAGCUCAAAGGACCAGUAAAUAUCUUCAACAAAAUCAUAGAAGAAUACUUCCCUAACCUAAAAAAAGAGAUACCCAUAGACAUACAAGAAGCCUACAGAACUCCAAAUAGAUUGGACCAGAAAAGAAACACCUCCCGUCACAUAAUUGUCAAAACACCAAACGCACAAAAUAAAGAAAGAAUAUUAAAAGCAGUAAGGGAAAAAGGUCAAGUAACAUAUAAAGGGUGACCUAUCAGAAUCACACCAGACUUCUCGCCAGAAACUAUGAAGGCCAGAAGAUCCUGGACUGAUGUCAUACAGACCCUAAGAGAACACAAAUGCCAGCCCAGGUUACUGUAUCCAGCAAAACUCUCAAUUAACAUUGAUGGAGAAACCAAGAUAUUCCAUGACAAAACCAAAUUUACACAAUAUCUUUCUACAAAUCCAGCACUACAAAGGAUAAUAAAUGGUAAAGCCCAACAUAAGGAGGAAAGCUAUACCCUAGAAGAAGCAAGAAACUAAUCGUCUUGGCAACAAAACAAAGAGAAUGAAAGCACACAAACAUAACCUCACAUCCAAAUAUGAAUAUAACGGGAAGCAAUAAUCACUAUUCCUUAAUAUCUCUCAAUAUCAAUGGCCUCAACUCCCCAAUAAAAAGACAUAGAUUAACAAACUGGAUACGCAACGAGGACCCUGCAUUCUGCUGCCUACAGGAAACACACCUCAGAGACAAAGACAGACACUACCUCAGAGUGAAAGGCUGGAAAACAACUUUCCAAGCAAAUGGUCAGAAGAAGCAAGCUGGAGUAGCCAUUCUAAUAUCAAAUAAAAUCAAUUUCCAACUAAAAGUCAUCAAAAAAGAUAAGGAAGGACACUUCAUAUUCAUCAAAGGAAAAAUCCACCAAGAUGAACUCUCAAUCCUAAAUAUCUAUGCCCCAAAUACAAGGGCACCUACAUACGUAAAAGAAACCUUACUAAAGCUCAAAGCACACAUUGCACCUCACACAAUAAUAGUGGGAGAUUUCAACACACCACUCUCAUCAAUGGACAGAUCAUGGAAACAGAAAUUAAACAGUGAUGUCGACAGACUAAGAGAAGUCAUGAGCCAAAUGGACUUAACGGAUAUUUAUAGAACAUUCUAUCCUAAAGCAAAAGGAUAUACCUUCUUCUCAGCUCCUCAUGGUACUUUCUCCAAAAUUGACCAUAUAAUUGGUCAAAAAACGGGCCUCAACAGGUACAGAAAGAUAGAAAUAAUCCCAUGGGUGCUAUCGGACCACCACGGCCUAAAACUGGUCUUCAAUAACAAUAAGGGAAGAAUGCCCACAUAUACGUGGAAAUUGAACAAUGCUCUACUCAAUGAUAACCUGGUCAAGGAAGAAAUAAAGAAAUAAAUUAAAAACUUUUUAGAAUUUAAUGAAAAUGAAGAUACAACAUACCCAAACUUAUGGGACACAAUGAAAGCUGUGCUAAGAGGAAAACUCAUAGCGCUGAGUGCCUGCAGAAAGAAACAGGAAAGAGCAUAUGUCAGCAGCUUGACAGCACACCUAAAAGCUCUAGAACAAAAAGAAGCAAAUACACCCAGGAGGAGUAGAAGGCAGGAAAUAAUCAAACUCAGAGCUGAAAUCAACCAAGUAGAAACAAAAAGGACCAUAGAAAGAAUCAACAGAACCAAAAGUUGGUUCUUUGAGAAAAUCAACAAGAUAGAUAAACCCUUAGCCAGACUAACGGGAGGACACAGAGAGUGCGUCCAAAUUAACAAAAUCAGAAAUGAAAAGGGAGACAUAACUACAGAUUCAGAGGAAAUUCAAAAAAUCAUCAGAUCUUACUAUAAAAACCUAUAUUCAACAAAACUUGAAAAUCUUCAGGAAAUGGACAAUUUCCUAUACAGAUACCAGGUAUCGAAGUUAAAUCAGGAACAGAUAAACCAGUUAAACAACCCCAUAACUCCUAAGGAAAUAGAAGCAGUCAUUAAAGGUCUCCCAACCAAAAAGAGCCCAGGUCCAGACGGGUUUAGUGCAGAAUUCUAUCAAACCUUCAUAGAAGACCUCAUACCAAUAUUAUCCAAACUAUUCCACAAAAUUUAAACAGAUGGAGCACUACCGAAUUCCUUCUACGAAGCCACAAUUACUCUUAUACCUAAACCACACAAAGACACAACAAAGAAAGAGAACUUCAGACCAAUUUCCCUUAUGAAUAUCAAUGCAAAAAUACUCAAUAAAAUUCUGGCAAACCGAAUUCAAGAGCACAUCAAAACAAUCAUCCACCAUGAUCAAGUAGGCUUCAUCCCAGGCAUGCAGGGAUGGUUUAAUAUACGGAAAACCAUCAACGUGAUCCAUUAUAUAAACAAACUGAAAGAACAGAACCACAUGAUCAUUUCAUUAGAUGCUGAGAAAGCAUUUGACAAAAUUCAACACCCCUUCAUGAUAAAAGUCCUGGAAAGAAUAGGAAUUCAAGGCCCAUACCUAAACAUAGUAAAAGCCAUAUACAGCAAACCAGUUGCUAACAUUAAACUAAAUGGAGAGAAACUUGAAGCAAUCCCACUAAAAUCAGGGACUAGACAAGGCUGCCCACUCUCUCCCUACUUAUUCAAUAUAGUUCUUGAAGUUCUAGCCAGAGCAAUCAGACAACAAAAGGAGAUCAAGGGGAUACAGAUCGGAAAAGAAGAGGUCAAAAUAUCACUAUUUGCAGAUGACAUGAUAGUAUAUUUAAGUGAUCCCAAAAGUUCCACCAGAGAACUACUAAAGCUGAUAAACAACUUCAGCAAAGUGGCUGGGUAUAAAAUUAACUCAAAUAAAUCAGUUGCCUUCCUCUAUACAAAAGAGAAACAAGCCGAGAAAGAAAUUAGGGAAACGACACCCUUCAUAAUAGACCCAAAUAAUAUAAAGUACCUCGGUGUGACUUUAACCAAGCAAGUAAAAGAUCUGUACAAUAAGAACUUCAAGACACUGAGGAAAGAAAUUGUAGAAGACCUCAGAAGAUGGAAAGAUCUCCCAUGCUCAUGGAUUGGCAGGAUUAAUUUAGUAAAAAUGGCCAUUUUACCAAAAGCAAUCUACAGAUUCAAUGCAAUCCCCAUCAAAAUACCAAUCCAAUUCUUCAAAGAGUUAGACAGAACAAUUUGCAAAUUCAUCUGGAAUAACAAAAAACCCAGGAUAGCUAAAGCUAUCCUCAACAAUAAAAGGACUUCAGGGGGAAUCACUAUCUCUGAACUCAAGCAGUAUUACAGAGGAAUAGUGAUAAAAACUGCAUGGUAUUGGUACAGAGACAGACAGAUAGACCAAUGGAAUAGAAUUGAAGACCCAGAAAUGAACCCACACACCUAUGGUCACUUGAUUUUUGACAAAGGAGCCAAAACCAUCCAAUGGAAAAAAGAUAGCAUUUUCAGCAAAUGGUGCUGCUUCAACUGGAGGGCAACAUGUAGAAGAAUGCAGAUCGAUCCAUGCUUAUCACCCUGUACAAAGCUUAAGUCCAAGUGGAUCAAGGACCUCCACAUCAAACCAGACACACUCAAACUAAUAGAAGAAAAACUAGGGAAGCAUCUGGAACACAUGGGCACUGGAAAAAAUUUCCUGAACAAAACACCAAUGGCUUAUGCUCUAAGAUCAAGAAUCGACAAAUGGGAUCUCAUAAAACUGCAAAGCUUCUGUAAGGCAAAGGACACUGUGGUUAGGACAAAACGGCAACCAACAGAUUGGGAAAAGAUCUUUACCAAUCCUACAACAGAUAGAGGCCUUAUAUCCAAAAUAUACAAAGAACUCAAGAAGUUAGACCGCAGGGAAACAAAUAACCCUAUUAAAAAAUGGGGUUCAGAGCUAAACAAAGAAUUCACAGCUGAGGAAUGCCAAAUGGCUGAGAAACACCUAAAGAAAUGUUCAACAUCUUUAGUCAUUAGGGAAAUGCAAAUCAAAACAACCCUGAGAUUUCACCUCACACCAGUGAGAAUGGCUAAGAUCAAAAACUCAGGUGACAGCAGAUGCUGGCGAGGAUGUGGAGAAAGAGGAACACUCCUCCAUUGUUGGUGGGAUUGCAGACUGGUAAAACCAUUCUGGAAAUCAGUCUGGAGGUUCCUCAGAAAAUUGGACAUUGAACUGCCUGAGGAUCCAGCCAUACCUCUCUUGGGCAUAUACCCAAAAGAUGCCUCAACAUAUAAAAGAGACACGUGCUCCACUAUGUUCAUCGCAGCCUUAUUUAUAAUAGCCAGAAGCUGGAAAGAACCCAGAUGCCCUUCAACAGAGGAAUGGAUACAGAAAAUGUGGUACAUCUACACAAUGGAAUAUUACUCAGCUAUCAAAAACAACGAGUUUAUGAAAUUCUUAGGCAAAUGGUUGGAACUGGAAAAUAUCAUCCUGAGUGAGCUAACCCAAUCACAGAAAGACAUACAUGGUAUGCACUCAUUGAUAAGUGGCUAUUAGCCUAAAUGCUUGAAUUACCCUAGAUCCCUAGAACAAACGAAACUCAAGACGGAUGAUCAAAAUGUGAAUGCUUCACUCCUUCUUUAAAUGAGGAAAAAGAAUACCCUUGGCUGGGAAGGGAGAGGCAAAGAUUAAAACAGAGACUGAAGGAACACCCAUUCAGAGCCUGCCCCACAGGUGGCCCAUACAUAUACAGCCACCCAAUUGGACAAGAUGGAUGAAGCAAAGAAGUGCAGACCGACAGGAGCCAGAUGUAGA
rnacentral:lncRNA from 1 species